UGAGGAACAUGACUUUCGGCGGGGGAUAGCCGGCCCAACGGCCGGGUAAUACCGCGUACGACCUUUUGGGGACAUCCCCGAUUGGUGAAAGCAGCAAUGCACCGAAAGAGUGCCUCGCGGCCUAUCAGCUAGUUGGUGGGGUAACGCUCACCAAGGCGACGACGGGUAGCUGGUCUGAGAGGAUGGCCAGCCACAUUGGGACUGAGACACGGCCCAGACUCCUACGGGAGCAG
rnacentral:rRNA from 1 species